CUGUACAGAGAUUCAGGAAAUGGAAAGAUGAUAGAUACAGACAGGAACAACAUCGUGUUCCUGAGUGCCAUUCUCUAAUCCCAUAAAUCCUUUAUUACCAUCCCCCGUGUUUUUUGGGAACUGGCGGACUGCGUACCGCCCCUUUCUAGCUAGGUCAGCCCACACUAUUUUCCCAUCCAGCUCACUACUCCUUUGUAGCACAUACUACAAGUUCUCACAGUUCAAUGUCUGUCUUCCCUGCUGGCUUUCGUCCCCGAAAGGAGGUGAAACCACUUUAACACGUGCAGCCCAGAUUCUGUAGAAAUGGAUCAGCCAUGCCUAGGAAGGAGAUCCAGGCAGCCUGUGCCAUGAGAGUGUGCUGCAAAGCCUCAGGAUCCGGAACUGUCAAAGUUCUCCAAACUCAACUUUACACUCUUCCAGCAUACCAGGACCGCAGGGUGCAUGCGGGACUUGUCAGCCUGAAAAGCCUGCUGAGGUGAAAGGAAAGAGAAGCUUGUGGAAAUACAUGAUGAAGGCUUCAUGGCAGUUAGAAGACCACAGUAUGUACGACCAGUCACAGGCCAUAGAGGAACAGGAAGUCCUUUCAAGCAGUACUCAGGCUUCCUGCAGUGACACAGUCUUCUGGGAUGUGCAGGAUGGUUAUAGCGGGCAAGCACCAAUCAAGACAAGGGCGUGGAUGGAAAGCCUUCAGGGUGACUUGACACUGGAAGUGUGCAAUCCUUGCUGCAGACGAGGACUGGAGACCCUUCGCAGAUCAGAAGAGUCCUGCUCUAGGGGCACAGGAGGGAAAGCUGUGGGGCUUCCUGCUGUCACAACUACAAAGCUCCAACUUUUAAUAUGUAUCACAAUCUGCUUUGACUUUCCCUGGCAAGUGGUUGGAUAACGCAUAAAAUGUUUCUGAAAGUAAAUAAAACUAAGAAAUGAUUCUUCUGUUUUUAUUUACUUAAAAAUUAACAGUGUAACAAUUAGCAAGAAUAAAAGU